rnacentral:rRNA from 1 species
AGAGUUUGAUCCUGGCUCAGAUUGAACGCUGGCGGCAGGCUUAACACAUGCAAGUCGAGCGGUAACAUUUCUAGCUUGCUAGAAGAUGAUGAGCGGCGGACGGGUGAGUAAUACUUAGGAAUCUACCUAGUAGUGGGGGAUAGCUCGGGGAAACUCGAAUUAAUACCGCAUACGACCUACGGGAGAAAGGGGGCAACUUGUUGCUCUCGCUAUUAGAUGAGCCUAAGUCGGAUUAGCUAGAUGGUGGGGUAAAGGCCUACCAUGGCGACGAUCUGUAGCUGGUCUGAGAGGAUGAUCAGCCACACCGGGACUGAGACACGGCCCGGACUCCUACGGGAGGCAGCAGUGGGGAAUAUUGGACAAUGGGGGAAACCCUGAUCCAGCCAUGCCGCGUGUGUGAAGAAGGCCUUUUGGUUGUAAAGCACUUUAAGCAGUGAAGAAGACUCUUCGGUUAAUACCCGGAGACGAUGACAUUAGCUGCAGAAUAAGCACCGGCUAACUCUGUGCCAGCAGCCGCGGUAAUACAGAGGGUGCAAGCGUUAAUCGGAAUUACUGGGCGUAAAGCGAGCGUAGGUGGCUUGAUAAGUCAGAUGUGAAAUCCCCGGGCUUAACCUGGGAACUGCAUCUGAUACUGUCAGGCUAGAGUAGGUGAGAGGAAGGUAGAAUUCCAGGUGUAGCGGUGAAAUGCGUAGAGAUCUGGAGGAAUACCGAUGGCGAAGGCAGCCUUCUGGCAUCAUACUGACACUGAGGCUCGAAAGCGUGGGUAGCAAACAGGAUUAGAUACCCUGGUAGUCC